rnacentral:rRNA from 1 species
GCAUUGGAAACUGUCAAACUAGAAUACUGAAGGGGCAGAUGGAAUUAGUGGUGUAGGGGUAAAAUCCGUAGAUAUCACUAGGAAUACCGAAAGCGAAAGCGAUCUGCUGGGAAGUUAUUGACGCUGAGGCACGAAAGCGUGGGGAGCAAACGGGAUUAGAUACCCCGGUAGUCCACGCCCUAAACGAUGAAUGCUAGUCGUCGGAAAGCUCGUCUUUUCGGUGAUGCAGUUAACACAUUAAGCAUUCCGCCUGGGGAGUACGGUCGCAAGAUUAAAACUCAAAGGAAUAGACGGGGACCCGCACAAGUGGUGGAGCAUGUGGUUUAAUUCGAAGAUACGCGAAGAACCUUACCAAGCCUUGACAUUGAUAGAACGGACCAGAGAUGGACCGGUGCCUUUUCGGAGGAACUUGAAAACAGGUGCUGCACGGCUGUCGUCAGCUCGUGUCGUGAGAUGUUGGGUUAAGUCCCGCAACGAGCGCAACCCUCGUCGUCAGUUGCUAACAGUUCGGCUGAGCACUCUAGCGAGACUGCCUUCGCAAGGAGGAGGAAGGUGAGGACGACGUCAAGUCAUCAUGGCCCUUAUGGCUUGGGCUACACACGUGCUACAAUGGGGCGUACAGAGAGUUGCGAUACCGCGAGGUGGAGCUAAUCUCAUAAAGCGUCUCUCAGUUCGGAUUGGACUCUGCAACUCGAGUCCAUAAAGCUGGAAUCACUAGUAAUCGUAGAUCAGCAAUGCUACGGUGAAUACGUUCCCGGGUCUUGUACUCACCGCCCGUCACACCAUGGGAGUUGAUUUCACCCGAAAUCGGGAUGCCAAACUGGCUACCGCUUACGGUGGAAUUAGCGACUGGGGUGAAGUCGUAACAAGGUAACC